CGAUGGCAGUGGGUUAUCAGAACUUAUUAACAUUAGUGUCACUAAAGUUGGUAUACCACCCCCCACUACUAAAUUN
ensembl:misc_RNA Y_RNA Y RNA